CAGAAAUGAACCAAGUGGUGUUACAGAUGAGGAAAAACUGACGAAGGUUAAACUGGGUAGGCCAAAGGGAUCAAAGAAUAAGAAGAGAAUUGAUGGUGUUGAAGCGGUAAAGCAAGGUUCAAGUGAAGUUGGUGUUACUGGAGAUGAUAUCGAUCCCUUGAAACGUAAGCGAGGGCGACCAAAGGGUUCAAAAAAUAGGAAGAAAAAUCAAGGUGAGGAAAAACAGAUCAUAUGUAACAAAACUGUGGUUGGUAGUGAUGGUGCUGGCGGUGUUGGGACUGUUUUUCUAAGAGGUUCAGAGAAUGAGAAGUUGGCUGAUACGGCUGAGGGAAAAAUGAAAAUGCCUGAUGAGGCUACUGGUGGUAGUGUGGGG
rnacentral:misc_RNA from 1 species